rnacentral:rRNA from 1 species
UUUAUGGAGAGUUUGAUCCUGGCUCAGGAUGAACGCUGGCGGCGUGCCUAAUACAUGCAAGUCGAGCGAACUGACGAGGAGCUUGCUCCUUUGACGUUAGCGGCGGACGGGUGAGUAACACGUGGGUAAC